CCUUUUGGCACAUAUACCAUGGAAGAAAAGGAAAAUCUCCCUUCCCAAAUAAAUCAGUUUGUUAAUGAAACUCUUGAUUUAUUUGGAAAACAAGUAGGACCCGUUUUCUCUAGCUUUUUAGGGAUCUACCAAGGAGUUUCAUUACUGGCUCGUAGAUUGGCUCAGGUCAUUGUCACCUUGAUACUAUUGAAGUAGCUUAUUUCCAAUUCAGAAUCCAAGUACUUGGUGCAACUGGAUGAAGAUACGACAAGUAAUAAUGCUGGAUAUUCGGGCUUGUUCUGCCUCUUUUAUGUCAACAUUUCACUACAAUGACCAAAUGUUCUAUUGAGCAAAUUGUUUCUACUUAAUUGAUAUGUUUUUUUGUAAAAAUAUUUCAUCAUAGAAGUCAACGUUCUUUUGCCGUAGAUUGGAGUUCAUUAUGUAUUUGGAUUAGAAAAUGUAAAAUAUUGAUAGAAAUUACAUGGAGUCUGAUUUGCUA